CCACCAACCAAUUCAGUUCAACUACAGCGUUCCACCGGUAACUACACCUGCAUAGCCCACUCUAGUAAAACAGGUCUCCAGCCUUAUCCAUUGGGCCCGAACUGGUGGAAGUUUGAGGCAAGGGGGUGAAACAUCGGCCCUUUGAUCCACCCGCCGUGUCCAUUGUUGGAACACCGAGGUAAUCUUCUUCGGCAUCCAUUUUCGUAAGGACAAACCGCAAUAUAAAGGAUCCUGUGCAUUAAUCCACAACAUUUAAGACGGCACAAGUCACACUUCACAUUUAUCAUACGCCUCCACGUGGGAAUGAAUCGUAAGAAUAAUCCCUCCUGUUCUGGAACACAUGAACUUUACUGGGUCUUCUGCAGCCACCAUUUUGCUCUCCAGGCAGAUGAAAUAACUUCAGUUAGGUACGAGGAACCUUAACUUCUAGACGUCGUGUCUCCUACACCGAUCUUGGAACAAUGUGCUUUGCUUUCACAGGGGAGUACGUGCAGACGGUAGAAUGUUCCGAUAACUCCGCCUUCUCUCCUUCGAUGUGACAGCAACACGUUCGAAAGAAAACAGCUGAGUCACUCCUCACCUGUCGACAACAAACAGAAAAGAGAGAGAGAGAUGAACCUAAGUCGUAAUUGCUCCUGACAAGUCAGCGUUUCCAUACUAAAUAUUUAAAAUAUAAAAACUCUAAAUUUAAAGCUAAAGAAACUAUCAACAGAUCAAUAAUUUUUACAAAUUCGGUUGUUUCAGUCUUUAUCUGAAUUUUGCUGGAAUUGACCUAAAUAGAUAUCCCAUAUCAAAAGACACAAUUUGUUAAAGUCGAAAGCAUUUGGAAAUACCUAUCCUUGUGAGAAAGUGUUCAGCUUACUGUACAACGUAAAAAUGAGAACUAUGACGUGUCUUAUUAACACAUGGACAGAUUCGUGCGAAUCAUGUUGAUAGAAAUCCACCGAUCUCCAGUCACCGAGACAGGCCUCCAGAUAACCGACAAAACGCGAUGGAAUAAGGGACGUGGCAACAAGAUCCAUAUCAUCCGCGUACAGCGCUAGCUCAACAUGGCGGAAGGGCGUGUGAAUGUCGUUCACAUACUGGCUCAACUGCAUAGACGAGUCGAGUCCGCCCUCGGCCACUCCAGUCCGCAACCCAUGCCAUGUGAUGUGGCUGAUUGCAGUCAAGAUAGGACAUGGUUUUCGCCAGGCAGUCCUAGGGUAGUUACCUAGCAAAGGAGGACUUUGGCCUGAAGGAUCUCCGAGGGACUGGUUAAUUUCGGUUCACUUGCGGGGGCAUACUCGUAUGCUCGCUUCGCCUCGUUAACCACGUCAAUAACUGCGGGUCCGACGGGUCGUCCGCCGGCUGAAACUGGACCUCAAGGUUAUCGGCCAGGGCUUCCGGUUUCUCCGAGUCCGAGAGAGCAAGUCCUCCCGGCACUUGCAAGGGGGGGCAACGGAGUGGGGACUCGCAUCACCCGCUUGGUCAUCUUCCAUAGCGACUGGUCCUCGCAGUCCAAGGAUUCCAGCGUGUCGCUCCACUGUUCGUUCCUCUACGCGUUGGGCCGAUAGGUCACCGACCUCUGGAGGCGGCUGACCCGAGCUUUCAGAGCGGGGUUCCUCGUGGCCUGCCACUGCCUCCUCAGCAGAUUCGUUGCAUGAUACACCCGUGGUAAAAGACGAGGAGGCAAUUGACAAGUGUGUCGAGAAGCUGACUAGCACCAUCCAUGAGACCACAGUGGCAUCUCCUGCCAAGAGUCCACACUGUGACAGCCUGCAGCCCCCUCUACCCAGUAGUAUUCAGAAUAAACACAGCUGUUACUCUGAAAUUUUUAGGUCAAAGGGAUUUCUUACUUCAGGAAGUUGUUAGUUAAAAGGAGGAAGUCAGCAAAGCAGACAAUUCUUGAUAGUUCCUUCAGAAAGAGACAAAUGGAGCCAUUAACAUCUGAAUGUAACAACCACCAACAUCCCUCAAAAUUAAUUUUCUUUCACCUGAUCAUCUCCAUUAAACCACUAAUCCCCUUAGCUUAGGGUAGGAAUGUUUUAUGCUCUAAUUACUUAUUCAUCAUGUAUGUUUCUAAGUACAAUGCUUUAAUAUGAUUUUAUAACCUUUAUUUAUUAAAUUUUCAUGUUUACUACAUUAUAAAUUAUGUUUCUUGGGUGGAAAGAUCAACUUCCGAUCGUCUUAAAAUGAAUUAAGCCUUUAACAUGUAUUUCCUGUGUACGGUUAAGGAUACUUUUAAAUAAUAAUGGAAUUUGUGAAA